CUGCGUAAAGUAUGGGCUGAAGCAGUGCACUAUGUGUCUGGGCUAAAAGAAGACUACAGCAGGCUCUUUCAGGGACAAAGAGCAGCAAUGUUAAGUCUUCUUAGAUAUAAUGCUAACUUGACAAAAAUGAAGAACACUUUGAUCUCAGCAUCACAGCAACUGAAAGCUAAAUUGCAGUUUUUUC